rnacentral:tRNA from 1 species
UCCCUGGUGGUCCAGUGGUUAGGACUCUGCACUUCCACUGCAGGGGGCCCGGGUUCAAUCCCUGGUCUGGGAA